GGGCGGGGUGGCCGGGCCGCCAGCUUUGGGCGAUAAGCGGGCGGGGUGGGGGGGGGGGGGGCGGUGGGACCCCUUCCCGGGCGGGGGCGACCUGGAGGCCCCGAGGUCCGGACGCCCGCCGCGACCUUGGUGCAGCCACGGGGCGGGAGGACGCUGCGGCAGCCGCUUGACCUUUGAAACUUGCGUGCUUCUCGCCGCCACCUUGCAAGCUCAGCGUCAGCUCCAGUCUGCAGAGGGGGACAAUGGAGCUCAGAGAAGUUCGGCACGCUGUCUGAGGUCACGGCGCCGCCGCCCAAGCGAGGGCCCGGGUUUCUGACACGUGUCUCGCAGGACGCGGUCCCUUGGAAGCAGGCAUAACAGGAUUGAUCCUGUCGUAGCGGCCAACGGAAUCGGCCCCCAAAGGGGCACCGCGGGAAGCUGCCGGCCCGCACGCGGCACCUGGGAGCCUGCCGGGUGUCGUCGAUCCCCUUCGGGCGCCGCAGAGAGGCCUGCGCGGCGCCCAUCACCCCCCCCCCCCCCCCCCCCCCGGCCCGGCGCAUCAAUCACUUCGCCAAAGAAAAUUUGUUCUUAACAUCCCUCAGGUGCAUGUGUAGAUGAGAUCGGAAGCGGUUGACAGCCGCCUCUGGAGUCGUGGGCUCCUGACAAAUGCUAAGGGACAGCCACAUGGCACUGUCUCUUCCCCAGUAUUUUCUUUCUUUCUUUCUUUUUUAAACGUUUAUUCACCUUUGAGAGAGCGUGAGCAGGGGAGGAACAGAGAGAGGGAGACACAGGAUCCGAAGCAGGCUCCAGGCUCUGAGCUGUCAGCACAGACCCCACGCGGGGCUCGAACCCAUGAGACCAUGACCUGAGCCAAAGUCGGAGCCUUAACCGACUGAGCUCCCCAGGCGUCCCUCUCUUCCCCAGUAUUGCGAAGGCAGCCGUGGACACAAGGGCAACCUUUCCGCUCCGGGGUAUCGGCCCCCACCCGCUCAGGGACUCUGUCCAGCUCGGCGUGGAGGUGGGACCUGCCAUCCAGAAAGUCCUCCCGACGCGCCCUCGCAGGAACAAUACUUAAAGGAAAGCCCCCUGAUGGUGCACGGAGAGCUGGCUGUCGCAUCUGUCUCCCUGGGACACCGGGCUUGGUGAUCAGUGGGGGGAAUCUCAGCCCUCUGCUGGCUGCAGUCAGCUGAGGAGGCUUUCUGGAAGCGUAAGUCCUCAAGCAUGGCUGCCUCCGGGAGCUUCCCCCGCUGCCCUGAGCUGGACCCAAACGGCCCUGCUUCUGUUUGCAUUCAUGCUACCAGAGCGGUCCGUGGGGGUGGGGGGAGGGGGGGGUCCGCGACACAAAUGCCCACUCCCCACUUGGGUGGCCCAGGCCCACCAGCUGCCUUCACUUCUGGUAGCAUCAGCUAUUUUAAUGCAGAGUUAGGCACACAAUCCUUGCUAAAAAUAAAUACAAAGGAAAACCCCAAA